AGCAGUAGCCGCGGUAAUACGAAGGGGGCUAGCGUUGUUCGGAAUUACUGGGCGUAAAGCGCACGUAGGCGGUUUGUUAAGUCUGUUGUGAAAUCCCCGGGCUCAACCUGGGAAUGGCAAUGGAUACUGGCAAGCUAGAGUGUGUCAGAGGAUGGUGGAAUUCCCGGUGUAGCGGUGAAAUGCGUAGAGAUCGGGAGGAACAUCAGUGGCGAAGGCGGCCAUCUGGGACAACACUGACGCUGAGGCACGAAAGCGUGGGGAGCAAACAGGAUUAGAUACCCCAGUAGUCCCUGUCUCUUAUAU
rnacentral:rRNA from 1 species